rnacentral:rRNA from 1 species
GGGGAAUAUUGGACAAUGGGCGAAAGCCUGAUCCAGCAAUGCCGCGUGAGUGAUGCAGGCCUUAGGGUUGUAAAGCUCUUUUACCAGGGAUGAUAAUGACAGUACCUGGAGAAUAAGCUCCGGCUAACUCCGUGCCAGCAGCCGCGGUAAUACGGAGGGAGCUAGCGUUGUUCGGAAAUACUGGGCGUAAAGCGCACGUAGGCGGCAUCGUAAGUCAGGGGUGAAAUCCCGGGGCUCAACCCCGGAACUGCCCUUGAAACUGCAGUGCUAGAAUCUUGGAGAGGCGAGUGGAAUUCCGAGUGUAGAGGUGAAAUUCGUAGAUAUUCGGAAGAACACCAGUGGCGAAGGCGACUCGCUGGACAAGUAUUGACGCUGAGGUGCGAAAGCGUGGGGAGCAAAC